UUUUUUUUUUUUUUGCCUUUUUUUUUGUUUCUGAAAUGGAGUCUUGUUCUGUCUCCCAGGCUGGAGUGCAGUGGCACAAUUUUGGCUCACUGCAACCUCUACCUUGUGGGUUCAAAUGAUUCUCCUGCCUCAGCUUCCUGAGUAGCUGGGACUACAGGCACCUGUCACCAUGCCUGGCUAAUUUUUUUGUAUUUUUAGUAGAGAAAGGGUUUCACCGUGUUGGCCAGAGCUGUUCUUGAACUCCUGACCUCAGGUGAUCCACCCACCUUGGCCUCCCAAAGUGCUGAGAUUACAGGCGUGAACCACCAUGCCUGGCUUUGUUUUUGAUUUUUGAGAUAGGAUCUCACUCUGUGGCCCAGGCUGGGUUGCAGUGGCAGGAUCAUAGCUCAUUGCAGCUUUGACCUCCCUGGCUCAGUCGAUCCUCCCGCCCCAGCCUCCCAAGUAGCUGGGACACAGGUGCGUGCCACUACACCUGGCUAAUCUUUAAAAUUUGUAGAGAGAGGGGGGUUUCACUAUGUUGUCCAGGCUGACCUCUAACUCCUGGGCUUAAGGGAUCCUCCCAUCUUGGCCUUCCAAAGUGUUGAGAUAACAGGUGUGAGCCACUGUGCCUGGCCAGUUUUAUACAGGAGAGGGGAGUGUCUGGAGAAAGGCAAAGGAGAGGUGUGUUCCAUGAGAAUCCUUAUCCUUCUUGAGCGGCAUUAGUGGGAGGUAGCCAAGGGGUAGUGGGUAGGAUCGAAGCGAUUGCUAACUGCUAAUAUGAUCUGAAAUGUGGCAGAACUUGGAAUUAACUUGGUAGAUGUGAGCAUUGAUAUUGGAGUUACUCAUGACAAAGGGAGUAACUCUGACCCUGGAGAAAGAAGGGUUAUUCAGGUUUAGUGCAUGACAUCUUUCCUCUUCAUGGAGCUGACCUAAGGCGGAAUAUAAGGGGAAUGGGAGGGGCGGCUUGGAAAUCAACACCUGCCACCCUCACGACUGAUAACUUGAAGGAUCCUCUGGACGACUGAUAACUUGAAGGAUCCUCUGAACAACACCUCCCACCCUCACGACGGAUAACUUGAAGGAGCCUCUGCAGCAGAGGCAGGAGUCUGGAGGCUGGGAUAGUAUCAGA
rnacentral:lncRNA from 1 species